AUGGACAGCGAAGCACCCGAGAAAGUGCCAGCACUAGCAUCCAGCAGGGAGGGCAACAAAAAGCAAGUGACUAGUAGUAGAAAAGAGGAGCAAUCAGAAACCAAGAUUGUCAUUCCUCCUAGAGAAAAAAGACAAAAGAGAAAGGACAAAACUCAACUCAUCAGCGAUGGUGCUACCUUGAAGCAGCAACAGCCAAGUCCUCUAAUGAUACUCCCGCCAGCAGUUCCACGCGCCGACAAUGAUGUAAAUAAAGCCAAGAAGAAAAACAAAAGACAAUGGUUGGAAGAAGACGAGGAUGAUGCCAGCAAAGAGUCAAAGCGUGAUGCUGCCGACGACGACGAUGGCACAAAACAUGAUGAUGAUGUCAUUCGUACAGAGGGUGAUGGUGCUGCAAGGGAGAACGGUGGCGCCGCAGAGGACAACAACGAUGAUGUAAAAACAAGACAGAAGUGCACAAAGAGAAGAAAGACAAGUGGAAAAGAAUUGGCAGCACCAACGGAUGAUGAAUAG
rnacentral:rRNA from 1 species